CUGAUGCAGCGACGCCGCGUGGGGGAUGACGGCCUUCGGGUUGUAAACUCCUUUCGACAGGGACGAAGCGCAAGUGACGGUACCUGUAUAAGAAGCACCGGCUAACUACGUGCCAGCAGCCGCGGUAAUACGUAGGGUGCGAGCGUUGUCCGGAAUUACUGGGCGUAAAGAGCUCGUAGGUGGUUUGUCGCGUCGUCUGUGAAAUUCCGGGGCUUAACUCCGGGCGUGCAGGCGAUACGGGCAUAACUUGAGUGCUGUAGGGGAGACUGGAAUUCCUGGUGUAGCGGUGAAAUGCGCAGAUAUCAGGAGGAACACCGAUGGCGAAGGCAGGUCUCUGGGCAGUUACUGACGCUGAGGAGCGAAAGCAUGGGUAGCGAACA
rnacentral:rRNA from 1 species